rnacentral:rRNA from 1 species
CUACAGGCUUAACACAUGCAAGUCGAGGGGUAACGAGAGGAAAGCUUGCUUUCCUUGUCGACGACCGGCGCACGGGUGAGUAACGCGUAUCCAACCUGCCCCCAACUAGGGAAUAACCUUGCGAAAGUAAGACUAAUACCCUAUAAUUUCCUCAGAUGCCAUCUGACGAGGAAUAAAGAUUUAUCGGUUGUGGAUGGGGAUGCGUCUGAUUAGCUUGUUGGCGGGGUAACGGCCCACCAAGGCAACGAUCAGUAGGGGUUCUGAGAGGAAGGUCCCCCACAUUGGAACUGAGACACGGUCCAAACUCCUACGGGAGGCAGCAGUGAGGAAUAUUGGUCAAUGGGCGGAAGCCUGAACCAGCCAAGUAGCGUGAAGGAUGACGG